rnacentral:lncRNA from 1 species
GAUGAACAGAACAAGCAUGAUUGCUAAUAGGUUCAUUAGCAGCACUGUAAUACUCUUCUUUCAGCCUCCUUCUCCCUCAGAAAGACCUCUGGAAAGUUCAAAGUGUCAAGAAAAUUGUUGCAGAACUGUGAUAAGACAUGACAUUCAAGUAGUGAGGACUUCCAUAACACUGGCUAAAUGCCUUAUUAAUCUAACAUGUGUCAGCAGAUAAAAAGGAGAGAAGGAAACCUUAUGCAAAGAAACUGUAAUGAUGCAGUAGCUCUAUGACAUCAGCUGCUGUUUGCCAGCAUAGUGCACAGCAGGUGAGGAGAGGAGCCACUCCAGGUAAGAGAGUGUCUCAGAUGUCUGCUAGCUACAGUGAGAGUGCUGCAGCUGAAGGACAUGCUCUCAGAGCAA